rnacentral:rRNA from 1 species
CAGUAGCCACGGGAAUACGAAGGGGGCUAUCGUUGUUCGGAUUUACUGGGCGUAAAGCGCACGUAGGCGGAAAUUUAAGUCAGGGGUGAAAUCCCGAGGCUCAACCUCGGAACUGCCUUUGAUACUGGGUUUCUUGAGUCCGGAAGAGGUGAGUGGAACUGCGAGUGUAGAGGUGAAAUUCGUAGAUAUUCGCAAGAACACCAGUGGCGAAGGCGGCUCACUGGUCCGGAACUGACGCUGAGGUGCGAAAGCGUGGGGAGCAAACAGGAUUAGAUACCCCUGUAGUCCCUGUCUCUUAUAC